rnacentral:rRNA from 1 species
GCAAGUCGAACGAAGACCCUUCUUCGGAAGGUGAAGAGUGGCGAACGGGUGAGUAACACGUGGGCAAUCUGCCCCUCACAUCGGGACAACCUUGGGAAACCGGGGCUAAUACCGAAUACCCACCGACACGGGCAUCCGUGACGGUGGAAAGGAUUCUGGUGAGGGAUGAGCCCGCGGCCUAUCAGCUUGUUGGUGGGGGAAGGGACGACAAAGGCGACGACGGGUAGCCGGCCGGAGAGGGCGAGC